rnacentral:rRNA from 1 species
UGGGACAAGAAGACCCUAUGAAUUUGUUUAAAGUAAUUUAAUUGACUUUAAUUAUUUUAUUUUGAUUGGUUGGGGUGAUUUUUUAAGAUUAAGCAUCUUAAAAAGAAGUUUAUUAGGCCCAUUAAUAAUGAGGAUUUGAAUAAAAUACUCUAGGGAUAACAGCGUAAUAAUUUUGGAUAGUUCAUAUAGAUAAAAUAGUUUGCGACCUCGAUGUUG